GUGCCAGCCGCUGCGGUAAUACGAAGGGGCUAGCGUUGCUCGGAAUCACUGGGCGUAAAGCGCACGUAGGCGGAUCGUUAAGUCAGGGGUGAAAUCCUGGAGCUCAACUCCAGAACUGCCCUUGAUACUGGCGAUCUCGAGUUCGAGAGAGGUUGGUGGAAUUCCGAGUGUAGAGGUGAAAUUCGUAGAUAUUCGGAAGAACACCAGUGGCGAAGGCGGCCAACUGGCUCGAUACUGACGCUGAGGUGCGAAAGCGUGGGAGCAAACAGGAUUAAGAUACCCUGGUAGUCCACGCCGUAAACGAUGGAUGCUAGCCGUUGGGAGCGUUGCUCUUCAGUGGCGCAGCUAACGCAUUAAGCAUCCCGCCG
rnacentral:rRNA from 1 species